AGGAUUUAAUUUCUGUGACACCGUCUUCACAAGUAUUUCAACACAUGUUAAAUGGACGACAAUUAACUUUCAGAGGAAAUCGAGACAUACCACUGUCAAUUUACCAAACAAUACUGACUACUGUAAAAAACCUUUCUGGUGGAAUAUCAUAUUACAAUUUUCAAAAUAAGUUGUGUUCAUUAUAUAUUCGCCGAGAUUGCGAUUCAGUCACCUGGUUAAACUUGCUGAGUCAGGCUCAGCAUAUUAUAGUUCAUCAAGUACUGAUUAUAUUGAUACCAAAACCGAUCCAACAUGUAAAUGUUACGCUGAAUUUUGAACAAUUUCAAAAGAAACAAUUUUCUUAUAAAAGUACAUUUUUGAAACAGACUAUAAAAUAUCAAAAAUGUGGAAAUAUUUGUAUUUUAACAUUGAAAACUAUUCUUUGAAUUCAAAAUGUUUACAAUGGUUUUGAUCGAAAAGAAAAAGAAAUUAGUGUCAAUUAAUUCUAAAAUUCGAGACAUUAGUUUGUUUACAUUUUCUUGUGGUGUUUAAUGGGUAUGUAUUGUAAUAGAAAAAUGUAGUUUAUUUUAUUUCGUAUAGUUUAUUAGUUAAUGUAUGUAAGUUCUACUCUGUAAACUAUUUUAUAUAAAAUUAUUGUUUAACUGUUCUAUACAUUUUCAAAGCGUAGGAUAUUUCAAAUAUGUCAAAUAAAUACUUUAACAAACUAUUGAACGUAUCCGUGCAAUAAAACUUCAGCUGUGGCCAAAUGGACCUUCGAUCAUAUGUCCAGCAAAGUGUAAUAAAACAUCUUAAAAGUUCAGACAACGGUCAACCCACGUCAGCAACUUUAUUUGUGUGAAGCUAUAAAGCACAAACUAGUUCCAUAGUUACUUUUGAUUAAGAUCUAAAUUAAUAUUUAUAAUGUUAUUUUAUACUAUGUUAUAUAUAUUUAUGUUGUAAUUGUUUUAUAUUAUAGUUAGGGAAAUGUUAAUAAAUAUUUUCGAAACAUAGGUUGGCAAUUUUAGAAUAAAAAAAUGAAGAGAUGAAAGAAAAACCAGUUUUAUGUGACGUGUAAUUUCGACCUGGUCUUAGACCAUUACUAUAUUUGAGCAUUCUAAAUUUUAUUGAUAACUCAUAAAUCAUAAAUUCUUUUGUUGGUUAUAGUCAGAUAAGGGUUACUAGGACAUUCAAAACUUAGUAUAUAAACUGAUCAAGCCGCUAUAAUAUUAAUAGCGAGUUUUUUGAUAUUCUAGGUGAGUCUCUUGGUUUUGAAAAUAAUUUAGAUUUAAAAUUAUAUUUUCUUUUAAUUUUAUUUUGAAAAAAAAAAUAAAGUUUAUAAGUAACUAAUAUUUUAAUUCAGAGGUUUAUUUUAACAGUAAUUAUUAUUGUUAUUAUUUGAUAUUUAAUUUGAAUUGUUUGUAGUAUUUUAUUGUUGUUUUCAAUUUAUUUUGACAUUCAAACUUUGUACUUUGAAAUUAUAUUGUAAUUAUUUCUUUAUUAAAUUAAUAGCGAGUUUCUUGAUAUUCUAGUUUGGUUUUCUUUCCCGUUGCUGUUUCCGGCCUCCUACCGUGAGCCUCCCCCUAGAUUGUGCCACAGUGCUUUACAAUUGUCGGGAUAUAAAAACAUCAAAAAUACCAACACAAUAUAAUGGUAGAGGACCAUGUUUAGCAACGAAAAGAAAACAGCUAAACCAGGAAAGACACCUGACAACUACAAGAAACAACUACACACCAAACUAGACUCUGCGUUUGAAGGUUUGGAUAUCUUUGCAGACCAACAGGAAGACGUCAUCAGUUUUAAGAAGGGCUAUCCAAUUGCAAAUCCAGUUGCCAAUUGUGACAACGAUACUACUAUUCCUUACGUGAACGACCAGCCUUUUUCUCAGUCGUCGCCUAUACAUCAACAAUCCAAUCCUUCGUUUCAUCGUGGACAGGGCAGCCAACUCUUCCAUCGAGUAUCACACCCGUACGACCAUCUAUUAUACACAGGCCAUUGAUUCCUUCCACUCUUUCAAAAAUACCGGCAUCUGUUGCAGGAAAUUUGCGGUUGCAGACACCUCAGCAUUUUGCUGCGUUGUAUCCUAAGUUGCCAACAACUGCAACCGCCACAACAUCUAUCACCACUGCUGCAGCAAGUGUCUCAACUGCAACAACUACAUCAGUUACGACAACCGCAACGACAGGAGCAGGAGUAGGAGCAGGAACAACAACCACAACAUUACCAUCAACUACGACAAAUUCUUCAGAUGUCAAUGUUACAAGCCAACAGAAUUUAUACAAAGACAGAAUUGACUUUUGGCUGCAAACAAUUCCAAAUAUACUGAACACAACAAAGACCACCACAUCUGCAUUAGCUUUUCAACAACAAGUAGUUCAGAAGGAAUGUCAACACAACAAAGCACGCCAUCAUUGAACUUGAACCAACCACCAAAACAGGCAAUGGUGGUCAAAGUUGUAUCCCGCAAAUGUUCUAUUUAGUUAUAGCCUUCUUUUCUUCUUUUUUUAAACUUUAUAAUUGAAUGUUAAGAACGUCACAUUUUUUUUACAUGUUUGACGAUUUUAAUAUAAAAUUUCAAAAUACUCAACAAGAAACAAAACAAACAAAAAAAACCCAAGGUUGUUAUUUUCAUACAAAAAUGUAGUUUUGUAUACGAACCGUCAUUGGUCAUGUCAUAUGAAUUAGGUCUGAUAUUGUUUCGUCUUUUUUAACUUUUUGUGCCAUAAACGAGAGAAUAAGAGUUUGGUCGCAGGUGGUAAAAGAUAAAACCCAAUAUUGAUAGACUUAUUAAUAAGAUGAAAACUUUAACUAGAGUUUCCAAGGAAUCAUAUAUCGCUCACCUUGUUUGUUUCAUAAAAUUGACACAAUGCAAUAAGAAUAGUUCCGUAUGUCAUUGACAAAAAGGGAUUUAAAUAAACUUUCAAGGGAAAUAACUCCAAUAAGGAGUCGACUGAUGAUUUCGGUCAUGUUGACGUAAAUAAUCAUUAUAUUUUGUUGAUCUUUUUUUAUUUAAAUCCUAGACUAGAAUAUAAUUCAUGACUAAAAUAUCUUUUGUUGACCAUUUG